rnacentral:piRNA from 1 species
ACAUUCCUGGACUGACAGAUACU